rnacentral:rRNA from 1 species
GGGGAAUAUUGCGCAAUGGGCGAAAGCCUGACGCAGCGACGCCGCGUGAGGGAUGAAGGUUUUCGGAUCGUAACCCCCUUCCGGAGGGGAAGAACCGGCCCCGUGCUAAUCAGCGUUGCCUUGCCGUUACUUCCAAAGGAAGCCCCGCCUAACUCCGUGCCAGCAGCCGCGGUAAUACGGAGGGUGCAAGCGUUAAUCGGAAUUACUGGGCGUAAAGCGCACGUAGGCUGCUUUGUAAGUCAGGGGUGAAAUCCCACGGCUCAACCGUGGAACUGCCUUUGAUACUGCUUAGCUUGAAUCCGGGAGAGGGUGGCGGAAUUCCAGGUGUAGGAGUGAAAUCCGUAGAUAUCUGGAGGAACAUCAGUGGCGAAGGCGGCCACCUGGACCGGUAUUGACGCUGAGGUGCGAAAGCGUGGGGAGCAAACA